AUUGAACGCUGGCGGCAGGCCUAACACAUGCAAGUCGAACGAGUGGCGGACGGGUGUGUAAUGUCUGGGGCACUGCCUGUUGGAGGGGGGUAACUCCUGGAGACGGUAGCUAAUACCGCAUACCAUCAGAUGUGCCCACAUGGGAUUAGCUCGUAGGUGGGGUAACGGCUCACCUAGGCGACGAUCCCUAGCUGGUCUGAGAGGAUGACCAGCAAAACUGGAACGGAGAAACGGUCCGGACUCCUACGGGAGGCAGCAGGGGGGAAGAUUGCACUAGGGGCGCAAGCCUGAUGCAGCCAUGCCGCGUGUAUGAAGAAGGCCUUAGGGUUGUAAAGUACUUUCAGCGGGGAGGCGUUACCAGCAGAAGAAGCACCGGCUAACUCCGUGCCAGCAGACGCGGUAAUAC
rnacentral:rRNA from 1 species